GGGUGGUUAGUCCAAAAAAGACACUUGAUUUCGGCUCAAGAGACUGAGGUUAUAGUCCUCAACCACCUU
rnacentral:tRNA from 1 species